UUGUUGUUGGUAUCAGUGGGAGAAGUUGACCUCUAGGCCAAUUGGCUGUGAGGAUCAGCUGUGUCUACUCCGGGAGACAGCCUUAUGAGACA
rnacentral:pre_miRNA from 1 species